UACGGAGGGUGCGAGCGUUGUCCGGAAUCACUGGGCGUAAAGAGCGUGUAGGCGGCCCGAUAAGUCCGCCGUGAAAGUCCAGGGCUCAACCCUGGAAUGCCGGUGGAAACUGUCGGGCUAGAGUCCGGAAGAGGCGAGUGGAAUUCCUGGUGUAGCGGUGAAAUGCGCAGAUAUCAGGAGGAACACCAAUGGCGAAGGCAGCUCGCUGGGACGGUACUGACGCUGAGACGCGAAAGCGUGGGGAGCAAACAGG
rnacentral:rRNA from 1 species